rnacentral:rRNA from 1 species
GAAAACGACUGCUAAGACUGGAUAGGAAAUUAGAAGGCAUCUUUUAAUUUUUAAAAGACCUUUUUCGAAAGGUAUACUUAAAGAGGGGCUUGCGGCACAUUAGUUAGUUGGUAGGGUAAAAGCCUACCAAGACUAUGAUGUGUAGCUGGACUGAGAGGUUGAACAGCCACAUUGGGACUGAGACACGGCCCAAACUCCUACGGGAGGCAGCAGUAGGGAAUUUUCGGCAAUGGAGGAAACUCUGACCGAGCAACGCCGCGUGAACGAUGAAGUAUUUCGGUAUGUAAAGUUCUUUUAUUGAAGAAGAAAAAAUAGUGGAAAAACUAUCUUGACGAUAUUCAAUGAAUAAGCCCCGGCAAACUAUGUGCCAGCAGCCGCGGUAAUACAUAGGGGGCGAGCGUUAUCCGGAAUUAUUGGGCGUAAAGGGUGCGUAGGCGGUUUGGUAAGUCUAUAGUUUAAUUUCAGUGCUUAACACUGUUCUGCUAUAGAAACUAUCAGACUAGAGUGAGAUAGAGGCAAGUGGAAUUCCAUGUGUAGCGGUAAAAUGCGUAAAUAUAUGGAGGAACACCAGAGGCGUAGGCGGCUUGCUGGGUCUUUACUGACGCUGAGGCACGAAAGCGUGGGGAGCAAACAGGAUUAGAUACCCUGGUAGUCCACGCCGUAAACGAUGAGUACUAAGUGUCGGGGAAACUCGGUACUGAAGUUAACACAUUAAGUACUCCGCCUGAGUAGUACGUACGCAAGUAUGAAACUUAAAGGAAUUGACGGGACUCCGCACAAGCGGUGGAUCAUGUUGUUUAAUUCGAAGAUACACGAAAAACCUUACCAGGUCUUGACAUACUCUGCAAAGCUAUAGCAAUAUAGUGGAGGUUAUCAGGGAUACAGGUGGUGCAUGGUUGUCGUCAGCUCGUGUCGUGAGAUGUUAGGUUAAGUCCUAAAACGAGCGCAACCCUUGUCACUAGUUGCCAGCAUGUUAUGAUGGGCACUUUAGUGAGACUGCCAAUGAAAAAUUGGAGGAAGGUGAGGAUCACGUCAAAUCAUCAUGCCCCUUAUGAUCUGGGCUACAAACGUGAUACAAUGGCUGUUACAAAGAGUAGCUAAAACGCGAGUUUAUAGCCAAUCUCAUAAAAGCAGUCUCAGUUCGGAUUGAAGUCUGCAACUCGACUUCGUGAAGUUGGAAUCGCUAGUAAUCGCGAAUCAGCAUGUCGCGGUGAAUACGUUCUCGGGGUUUGUACACACCGCCCGUCA